UAAACUUCAUAACCCUAUUUUUAUCGUUUAUUUUUUUAUGAAAUGUAUAAAGUAUAUAUAAAAGUUGAAUAGCUUUAUUAAAUAAUAAUUUUACAUUUCUUCCCUAAUUUUUUUUAUUUAAAAAAAAAAAAUCAAAGUAAAAAAAAAUAAAAAUUUUGAUUUUUAAAUAUAAUUUCUUUCAAACCCGACCAAAUAAUAUUUAUAGGUUUAUUGACGAAAUCCAUACAUUCAAUCAACUUAAGUUUUGAAGAUUUUAUACAAUGAUUAAUCCAUUAACUUUGCAUUGAGAUCGUCUUCAUAAAUGCUAGAUACAAGAAAGUAGAAUUUAAGGGAAAAAAAAACUCUUAACUCUUUGAUCCAAUAGGUCUUUCUAACCACAAAAUGGAGAUUUGAAUUUAAAAAUGUGAUUAAAAGUACCAAUAAAAAUGAGAUAUAUCAUUCUACGAUAAAUUGAAAAAAAAAACGAUGUUCCCUCACUUUAAAAAUCUAUUAAAGCAGUUUAUAUGAUUGGAACAACAAUAAUCUGUGUGAUGUGUGUACGGCAAAAAACAAAAAAAAAACACAAAAGAAUUAUAUGAACGUUUAUUUGUUGUUCCCAGUGAAAAAAACUGAUAGAUG
rnacentral:lncRNA from 1 species